rnacentral:rRNA from 1 species
GUGGGGAAUCUUCCACAAUGGACGAAAGUCUGAUGGAGCAACGCCGCGUGAGUGAAGAAGGGUUUCGGCUCGUAAAGCUCUGUUGUCGGGGACGAAUGUGCAGUAUUUGAAUAAAGUACUGCAAUGACGGUACCUGACGAGGAAGCCACGGCUAACUACGUGCCAGCAGCCGCGGUAAUACGUAGGUGGCAAGCGUUGUCCGGAAUUAUUGGGCGUAAAGGGAGCGCAGGCGGGAAGGUAAGUCGGUCUUAAAAGUGCGGGGCUCAACACCGUGAUGGGUUCGAAACUAUCUUUCUAGAGUGCAGGAGAGGAAAGUGGAAUUCCUAGUGUAGCGGUGAAAUGCGUAGAUAUUAGGAGGAACACCAGUGGCGAAGGCGACUUUCUGGACUGUAACUGACGCUGAGGCUCGAAAGCCAGGGGAGCGAACGGGAUUAGAAACCCUUGUAGUCC